rnacentral:rRNA from 1 species
GAUGAACGCUGGCGGCGUGCUUAACACAUGCAAGUCGAACGAUGAAGCUCAGCUUGCUGGGUGGAUUAGUGGCGAACGGGUGAGUAACACGUGAGUAACCUGCCCUUAACUCUGGGAUAAGCCUGGGAAACUAGGUCUAAUACCGGAUAGGAGCGCCUACCGCAUGGUGGGUGUUGGAAAAAUUUAUCGGUUUUGGAUGGACUCGCGGCCUAUCAGCUUGUUGGUGAGGUAAUGGCUCACCAAGGCGACGACGGGUAGCCGGCCUGAGAGGGUGACCGGCCACACUGGGACUGAGACACGGCCCAGACUCCUACGGGAGGCAGCAGUGGGGAAUAUUGCACAAUGGGCGAAAGCCUGAUGCAGCGACGCCGCGUAAGGGAUGACGGCCUUCGGGUUGUAAACCUCUUUCAGUAGGGAAGAAGCGAAAGUGACGGUACCUGCAGAAGAAGCACCGGCUAACUACGUG